UGGGGAAUAUUGCACAAUGGGCGCAAGCCUGAUGCAGCCAUGCCGCGUGUGUGAAGAAGGCCUUCGGGUUGUAAAGCACUUUCAGCGAGGAGGAAGGUGGUGAGCUUAAUACGCUCAUCAAUUGACGUUACUCGCAGAAGAAGCACCGGCUAACUCCGUGCCAGCAGCCGCGGUAAUACGGAGGGUGCAAGCGUUAAUCGGAAUUACUGGGCGUAAAGCGCACGCAGGCGGUUUGUUAAGUCAGAUGUGAAAUCCCCGGGCUCAACCUGGGAACUGCAUUUGAAACUGGCAAGCUAGAGUCUCGUAGAGGGGGGUAGAAUUCCAGGUGUAGCGGUGAAAUGCGUAGAGAUCUGGAGGAAUACCGGUGGCGAAGGCGGCCCCCUGGACGAAGACUGACGCUCAGGUGCGAAAGCGUGGGG
rnacentral:rRNA from 1 species